CUAAUACAUGCAAGUCGAGCGAAUCUUUAGGAGCUUGCUCCUGAAGGUUAGCGGCGGACGGGUGAGUAACACGUGGGCAACCUGCCUGUAAGACUGGGAUAACUUCGGGAAACCGGAGCUAAUACCGGAUAAUCCUUUUCCUCUCAUGAGGAAAAGCUGAAAGUCGGUUUCCGCUGACACUUACAGAUGGGCCCGCGGCGCAUUAGCUAGUUGGUGAGGUAACGGCUCACCAAGGCGACGAUGCGUAGCCGACCUGAGAGGGUGAUCGGCCACACUGGGACUGAGACACGGCCCAGACUCCUACGGGAGGCAGCAGUAGGGAAUCUUCCGCAAUGGACGAAAGUCUGACGGAGCAACGCCGCGUGAGCGAUGAAGGCCUUCGGGUCGUAAAGCUCUGUUGUUAGGGAAGAACAAGUACCGGAGUAACUGCCGGUACCUUGACGGUACCUAACCAGAAAGCCACGGCUAACUACGUGCCAGCAGCCGCGGUAAUACGUAGGUGGCAAGCGUUGUCCGGAAUUAUUGGGCGUAAAGCGCGCGCAGGCGGUCCUUUAAGUCUGAUGUGAAAGCCCACGGCUCAACCGUGGAGGGUCAUUGGAAACUGGGGGACUUGAGUACAGAAGAGGAAAGCGGAAUUCCACGUGUAGCGGUGAAAUGCGUAGAGAUGUGGAGGAACACCAGUGGCGAAGGCGGCUUUCUGGUCUGUAACUGACGCUGAGGCGCGAAAGCGUGGGGAGCAAACAGGAUUAGAUACC
rnacentral:rRNA from 1 species